AUGUUUUUUAAAUUUUUAGUGGAGACACGGUUUCUCUACGUCACCCAGGCUGGUUUCAAACUCCUGGACGUAAGUGAUUCACCUGCCCUGGCCUUUCAAACUGCUGCAAUUACAGGUGUGAACCACCAUGCCUGUUUUUUUUUUUUUUUUCUCAUUUUUCUCUCUUCCUUUCCUUCUUUGGUAGAUGGAAAUGUGUCAGGUACCAGCUAUUCAUCCAAUGACCACUCCUCAGUUCCAAAUUCACCCUUCACUGCCUGCUCUGCAAACAUAGAGAUGGGACCAUCUAAUUUCAGGAAAACAGACAAGCUCAGGACUCCCACUGAUUGUACAUUAUGCCUCAGCCGAGGUGUCUCACCCCAUUCUCUAUGA
rnacentral:lncRNA from 13 species